GAACAGGAAGGUUAAGCUACACUGUGCUGAUGGUACUAUAGGGUUACCCCUAUGGAAGAGUAAGUCAUUGCCAG
rnacentral:rRNA from 1 species